rnacentral:lncRNA from 1 species
AAAUAUUCAAUAAAAUAUUUUAUUUUCUUAUAAAACAAUAUUUAUAGAGUUACCGGUAAAUAAUUUUUGUAGCGUAAAAGCUAAAUAAAUUCAUACAUACUGUAAUACAGAUAACCAAAGCAUAAGAUUUUAUUUACAGUGACACGUGGACCGACGAACGACCAAAAGUAUCAAAAGCGAUAAACCUACAGUUUUUGAGGAUGCAAGUCCAACUGUAGCCCUCAACGAAAUGAGCUAUCUACCGACUAUCCUAAGUCUGAAAGGGGUGGAAAGGAGGGUGGUGAGAUUAUAUAAUCCCAGUGAGUAAACAAAUAUCAUCUAAAAUAUCUAAAGCCAAGUAAAUGGAGACAGACAAAAUAGAUUAGCAUAAAAAUGAUUCACAUCAUUUCGAACUCAUUUUAAUAAGAUAAAAUAGAUUCAUUUCAUCCAAAUAAACAACGAGGCUUAUGAUUUCCUGAAAAGCUUGGCUGGUGCCAAAAUCAUUCUCAUACUCAAUUAUCAGGGAUACCUUGGCCUAAGGCUAUCCUAAUCGAGUCCGCCAAGGCUGUUAAAAAGUUAUGUACGCAUAAAUCAUGUUUUUAUUUUGAAAACAUAGCCAUUCCUUGACGUUGGCUGAGUUCACCCUCAUGUGGUAGUUUGGAGUGAAGGUUGUACCUCAGGAGUUACCCUACGCACCUCCCCAAUCGAGGUAAGAAUAUAACAGGAUUACGUGCCCCUCAAAAAGGUUGGUCCACAAAACCCGCCCACUGCAACAAGUUAAACCCACCAUACAAUAAAAUUUGCAAUAGCAUGACAUAGAAAUUAUUUUAUUUUACAGCCUCUCAAGGAAAAUCAAUAGUUCAUACAUUUUCAGCACAUUUACCAAUUCAACCAUUCAUGCCAAUAUUAUCAUAAGCCAUUCAAUUCAAACCAUGAUUUAUAACACAGCAAUUAGUGUCCAAUUACUUCAUUUUCAAAACCAUCUUUCAAUUUCAAGACAAUUUUAUAAAAUCAUUUCAUUUAAUCACAUUUUUGCUUAUAAAACAUAAAGAUUUACCAUUUAAACUCAUUUUCCAUAAAAUCACAAAAAUGAAUUAAAAUUCACUUUAGAUAAUCAAGAUGAUGAUAAGGUUAUUCACUGUAUCAGGAGUUUGAAAUACUUCUAUUCUCAGUCCUCUGACACAACGUCUUUACCCUUGUUAGAGAGCUCACCACCUAUAUACAAUACACGACACAUAAUUCAAUAUAUUGUGUCAUACCAUUAUAAAUCUAUUUCAGACUCUUUACUAAUGCAUGAAAUGGGAUGUGAAAUGCUCGAGUAACCAUCUAAAUACGGUGUUCAAUAUAAGUUCAAUUGUGUACCUAACUAAAAUGGUAUCGGCCUAAUUCGAUCUAUCACCCGAUUAAUUGGCCAAUACGUCCAAUUCAACUCCAAAUAAUUUCAUUUUUCUCCCAAUACUCCAAAUCAUCAAACAUAAGUCAAAUAGCAUAAAAUUUAGCAAAAAUCAUCUUCACAUUUUCUCUUGGGAAUUUCGGCCAUGGUGGGUGCAUCAAUACUAUGAUUUUUCCUACUUGAUUUUCUCACCGUAAUUCAUCAUUUCCUAACCAAUUCACUUGAAAUAAAAUCAAAAUCAUCAUCAAUAUUCUACAUGGAGAAUUCGGCCAAUGAGGGUUAUGGAAGAACAUGAAUUUUUCUUGCUUGAUUUUCAUGCUACACAUCACCAAUCAACUAAAAACACUAGAAUAUCUUAAAAUCUAACCAAAACAAUCAUCAAAAUCUCUCUCUAAGUGUUCAGCCAGCAAAAUACCCAUCAUGAAAUCAUGUGAUUCAACCAUGAAAAAUGCAAAAGAAUGUAUGGGAAAGGUAGAUCACAAGUCAAAAUCAAGAAAUUUUACCUUUGAUUGCUUGAUACUUGAAAUCCACGAAUUUUCUCUUGAAUUUUCACUCUAGGGUUUUUGUUCUUUCUUUUCUUCCUUUGUUCGUGCUUUGGCCGGC